AUGGCGACCGGCGCACGGGUGAGUAACACGUAUCCAACCUGCCGAUAACUCAGGGAUAGCCUUUCGAAAGAAAGAUUAAUACCCGAUGGUAUAAUCAGACCGCAUGGUUUGAUUAUUAAAGAAUUUCGGUUAUCGAUGGGGAUGCGUUCCAUUAGGCAGUUGGUGAGGUAACGGCUCACCAAACCUUCGAUGGAUAGGGGUUCUGAGAGGAAGGUCCCCCACAUUGGAACUGAGACACGGUCCAA
rnacentral:rRNA from 1 species